rnacentral:sRNA from 1 species
AGAAAGAGAUCUAGAUGCAUUUGCCUUCAGCAGUGUAGUUCUGGUCUAAUACAUUGAUGACCACCCACUGUGCUGGGACAUGCAAGAGGUCAAGGAUGCAUUCCAGGAAAGUUCCAUAAAAAUAUACCAUCAACUCCAACCUGAUAUUUGACCUAGCUGUGGAAAACCUCAUUGGCUCCUCACUAGAUCAGACCAUAAAAAUGAUUCAGGAAUGAAAAUCUAAGAUAAAUUCCCACCACUUCAAGAUGUUCUUAUACAAGUCAACAGUCUAGCAGAUCAGCCAGUCUCUUUCAUCAUCAAGCAGACAUACUCAAGAAAGAGGAAUAGUGAAGUGAAAUAUACAGAAGCAUGUUCAAGUUCAUCUGUUGAAUGUGGAAUUGUGAAUAGUGACAAUAUUGAGAAAAAUACUGACUCCAAUCUGCAAACUUCAACUUCAUUUGAGCCACAUUUCAAAAAAAAAAAAAAGAAAAAUUUGAAACAUUAAGGGAAAACAGUUGGGUAAAAGAUCCAUUUGCUUUUCGAAACCUUGAAUCAAUAAUUGAGCUAAACUUGGUGCCUGAAGAAGAGAAUGAAUUAUUGCAGCUUAGUUCUUCAUAUACAUUGAAGAAUGAUUAUGAGACCUUAAGUUUAUCAGCAUUUUGGAUGAAGGUAAAGGAAGACUUUCCAUUGUUAAGUAGAAAGAGUGUCCUGCUAUUACUACCAUUCACAGCAACUAGUUUGUGUGAACUAGGGUUUUCCAUCUUAACUCAGUUAAAAACAAAGGAAAGAAAUGGGCUGAAUUGUGCAGCAGCUAUGCGGGUAGCAUUAUCUUCCUGUGUUCCAGACUGGAAUGAACUUAUGAACAGGCAAGCACACCCAUCAUAGUAAAUAAAAAUCUUACCUAGU